rnacentral:misc_RNA from 1 species
CUCCUAUAGCUAGAACUGCCGGGGCUGAAAAAACCUAAGGCGAAAGUGUUAUUUUGGGAGAUUAGAAAGUUGCCCCCUGUGAUGGUUUGGUUUAUGGUUAUGGUGUCUAUGGACAUAGAAAAUAUGAAACGCAGGAUUAGAAGCAAGAGAUAGAGAAGCAGCUCCUCAGCAGCCAUGAUAAUUUUUUUUUUUUUUUUAUAUGGAAUCAGCAGCUAUGAUAAUUGACACCAAGCUUUUGGGGGGUAUUUGUCAUGGCCUCUCAUCGUCUCA